rnacentral:lncRNA from 1 species
AUCAAUUGAAAAUUGUGGUAAUAUUGAUACAGGAGCGUCAACUACAUCAAGUGUCAGUUGAUAUAUAUGUUUUGGUCAAAUACAUGUUUGUAUUUGCUCCUCCAAAAUUUGAAAGUCUGUGAUUCAAAAUUUCGCUUUUCCCAAAACAAAGUUAAAGAAAAUAUAUGAAGUCA